AGAAUCAACGCUGGCGGCGUGCCUAACACAUGCAAGUCGCACGAGAAAGGGGAGCAAUCCCUGAGUAAAGUGGCGCACGGGUGAGUAACACGUGAAUAAUCUACCUCCGAGUGGGGAAUAACUGAGAGAAAUCUUAGCUAAUACCGCAUAACACUUACGAGUCAAAGCAGCAAUGCGCUUGGAGAGGAGUUCGCGGCCGAUUAGUUAGUUGGCGGGGUAAUGGCCCACCAAGACGAUGAUCGGUAUCCGGCCUGAGAGGGCGCACGGACACACUGGAACUGAAACACGGUCCAGACUCCUACGGGAGGCAGCAGUGGGGAAUUUUGCGCAAUGGGGGAAACCCUGACGCAGCAACGCCGCGUGGAGGAUGAAGCCCCGUUGGGGUGUAAACUCCUUUCGAUCGGGAAGAUAAUGACGGUACCGAUAUAAGAGCCCGGCUAACUUCGCGCCAGCAGCCGC
rnacentral:rRNA from 1 species